rnacentral:rRNA from 1 species
AUUGAACGCUGGCGGCAGGCCUAACACAUGCAAGUCGAGCGGUAGAGAGAAGCUUGCUUCUCUUGAGAGCGGCGGACGGGUGAGUAAUGCCUAGGAAUCUGCCUGGUAGUGGGGGAUAACGUUCGGAAACGGACGCUAAUACCGCAUACGUCCUACGGGAGAAAGCAGGGGACCUUCGGGCCUUGCGCUAUCAGAUGAGCCUAGGUCGGAUUAGCUAGUUGGUGGGGUAAUGGCUCACCAAGGCGACGAUCCGUAACUGGUCUGAGAGGAUGAUCAGUCACACUGGAACUGAGACGCGGUCCAGACUCCUACGGGAGGCAGCAGUGGGGAAUAUUGGACAAUGGGCGAAAGCCUGAUCCAGCCAUGCCGCGUGUGUGAAGAAGGUCUUCGGAUUGUAAAGCACUUUAAGUUGGGAGGAAGGGCAGUAAAUUAAUACUUUGCUGUUUUGACGUUACCGACAGAAUAAGCACCGGCUAACUCUGUG